AGAGUUUGAUCCUGGCUCAGAUUGAACGCUGGCGGCAUGCCUUACACAUGCAAGUCGAACGGCAGCGCGGGGCAACCUGGCGGCGAGUGGCGAACGGGUGAGUAAUAUAUCGGAACGUGCCCUGGAGUGGGGGAUAACGCAGCGAAAGUUGCGCUAAUACCGCAUACGAUCUAAGGAUGAAAGCAGGGGACCGCAAGGCCUUGUGCUCCUGGAGCGGCCGAUAUCUGAUUAGCUAGUUGGUGGGGUAAAGGCCUACCAAGGCAUCGAUCAGUAGCUGGUCUGAGAGGACGACCACCCACACUGGAACUGAGACACGGUCCACACUCCUACGGGAGGCAGCAGUGGGGAAUUUUGGACAAUGGGCGCAAGCCUGAUCCAGCAAUGCCGCGUGAGUGAAGAACGCCUUCGGGUUGUAAAGCUCUUUUGUCAGGGAAGAGACGGUGGGGGCUAAUAUCCCCUGCUAAUGACGGUACCUGAAGAAUAAGCACCGGCUAACUACGUGCCAGCAGCCGCGGUAAUACGUAGG
rnacentral:rRNA from 1 species